UACGGAGAGUGCGAACGUUGUUCGGAUUCACUGGGCGUAAAGGGCACGUAGGCGGCCUGGCAAAUCAGUCGUGGAAUCCCGACGCUUACCGUCGGAACGGCGGCUGAAAAUACCAGGCUUGAGGGCGUGAGGGGUCACUGGAACUCCCGGUGAAGCGGUGAAAUGCGUAGAUAUCGGAAGGAACGUCAAUGGCGAAGGCAGCCACCUGGCACAAUACUGACGCUGAGGCGCGAAAGCGUGGGGAGCAAACAGG
rnacentral:rRNA from 1 species